CGAAAUGCGAUAAGUAAUGUGAAUUGCAGAAUUCAGUGAAUCAUCGAAUCUUUGAACGCACCUUGCGCUCCUUGGUAUUCCUUGGAGCAUGCCUGUUUGAGUAUCAUGAAAUCUUCAAAGUAAAUCUUUUGUUAACUCAAUUGGUUUCUACUUUGGUAUUGGAGGUCUUUGCAGCUUCACACCUGCUCCUCUUUGUUCAUUAGCUGGAUCUCAGUGUUAUGCUUGGUUCCACUCGGCGUGAUAAGUUAUCUAUCGCUGAGGACACUGUAAAAGGUGGCCAAGGUAAAUGCAGAUGAACCGCUUCUAAUAGUCCAUUGACUUGGACAAUACUUUUAUGAUCUGAUCUCAGAUCAGACAAGGAUACCCGCUGAACUUAAGC
rnacentral:misc_RNA from 1 species